UACGAAGGGUGCAAGCGUUACUCGGAAUUACUGGGCGUAAAGCGUGCGUAGGUGGUUUGUUAAGUCUGUUGUGAAAGCCCCGGGCUCAACCUGGGAAUGGCAAUGGAUACUGGCAGGCUAGAGUGCGGUAGAGGGUAGUGGAAUUCCCGGUGUAGCGGUGAAAUGCGUAGAGAUCGGGAGGAACACCAGUGGCGAAGGCGGCUACCUGGACCAGCACUGACACUGAGGCACGAAGGUCAGGGGAGCAAACGGG
rnacentral:rRNA from 1 species